rnacentral:rRNA from 1 species
UGCAAGCGUUAUCCGGAUUCACUAGGUUUAAAGGGUGCGUAGGCGGAAGGAUAAGUCAGUGGUGAAAUCUUGCGGCUUAACCGUAAAAUUGGCCAUUGAUACUGGUUUUUCUUGAGUGUGGUUGAGGUAGNCGGAAUGAGUAAUGUAGCGGUGAAAUGCUUAGAUAUUACUCAGAACACCGAUUGCGUAGGCAGCUUACUAAGCCAUUACUGACGCUGAUGCACGAAAGCGUGGGUAGCAAACAGGAUUAGAUACCCUGGUAGUCCACGCAGUAAACGUUGAUUACUCGUUGUUGGCAAUACAUCGUCAGCGACUGAGCAAAAGCAUUAAGUAAUCCACCUGGGGAGUACGUCAGCAAUGAUGAAACUCAAAGGAAUUGACGGGGGCCCGCACAAGCGGAGGAACAUGUGGUUUAAUUCGAUGAUACGCGAGGAACCUUACCUGGGCUUAAAUGUUAAGUGCUAUACCGGGAGACCGGUUUUUCCUUCGGGACACUUUACAAGGUGCUGCAUGGUUGUCGUCAGCUCGUGCCGUGAGGUGUCGGGUUAAGUCCCAUAACGAGCGCAACCCCUAUUGCCAGUUGCCAGCACAUCAUGGUGGGAACUCUGGUAAAACUGCCGGUGCAAACCGCGAGGAAGGUGGGGAUGACGUCAAAUCAGCACGGCCCUUAUGUCCAGGGCUACACACGUGUUACAAUGGUCGGUACAACAGGAAGCUAUUCCGCGAGGAACCGCUAAUCCCGAAAGCCGAUCUUAGUUCGGAUCGGAGUCUGCAAUUCGACUCCGUGAAGCUGGAUUCGCUAGUAAUCGCAGAUCAGCCAUGCUGCGGUGAAUAUGUUCCCGGGCCUUGUACACACCGCCCGUCAAGCCAUGGAAGCCGGGGGUGCCUGAAGUCCGUA